GGGACACGUGGUAUCCUGUCUGAAUAUGGGGGGACCAUCCUCCAAGGCUAAAUACUCCUGACUGACCGAUAGUGAACCAGUACCGUGAGGGAAAGGCGAAAAGAACCCCGGCGAGGGGAGUGAAAAAGAACCUGAAACCGUGUACGUACAAGCAGUGGGAGCACAGAGCAAUCUGUGUGACUGCGUACCUUUUGUAUAAUGGGUCAGCGACUUAUAUUCUGUAGCAAGGUUAACCGAAUAGGGGAGCCGAAGGGAAACCGAGUCUUAACUGGGCGUUAAGUUGCAGGGUAUAGACCCGAAACCCGGUGAUCUAGCCAUGGGCAGGUUGAAGGUUGGGUAACACUAACUGGAGGACCGAACCGACUAAUGUUGAAAAAUUAGCGGAUGACUUGUGGCUGGGGGUGAAAGGCCAAUCAAACCGGGAGAUAGCUGGUUCUCCCCGAAAGCUAUUUAGGUAGCGCCUCGUGAAUUCAUCUCCGGGGGUAGAGCACUGUUUCGGCAAGGGGGUCAUCCCGACUUACCAACCCGAUGCAAACUGCGAAUACCGGAGAAUGUUAUCACGGGAGACACACGGCGGGUGCUAACGUCCGUCGUGAAGAGGGAAACAACCCAGACCGCCAGCUAAGGUCCCAAAGUCAUGGUUAAGUGGGAAACGAUGUGGGAAGGCCCAGACAGCCAGGAUGUUGGCUUAGAAGCAGCCAUCAUUUAAAGAAAGCGUAAUAGCUCACUGGUCGAGUCGGCCUGCGCGGAAGAUGUAACGGGGCUAAACCAUGCACCGAAGCUGCGGCAGCGACGCUUAUGCGUUGUUGGGUAGGGGAGCGUUCUGUAAGCCUGCGAAGGUGUGCUGUGAGG
rnacentral:rRNA from 1 species